GUGUGAUGAAGGGGUGACUGGCUGCGACGAAGUGACAUCGGACGUGAGUCGUCUUCCAGAGAGAACGAAGAGGCCAAGUGACCUGGCAGAAGAUGCUGAAACACUUUGUAACGGACUGGGGCUCCACUCCUGCUCACAGUGCUGCUGCUCAGGGGGAACCUCCUCUUCAGAGACAGAGAGCUGCAGGGAGUCUGGAGGGAAGGAGAGGAGGAGCAGAGGUUACCUAUACAGCCUGGAUACAGAGGUUACCCAGCUAUACAGCCUGGAUACAGAGGUUACCCAGCUAUACAGCCUUGAUAAAGAGGUUACCUAUACAGCCUGGAUACAGAGGUUACCUAUACAGCCUGGAUACAGAGGUUACCUAUACAGCCUGGAUACAGAGGUUACCUAUACAGCCUGGAUACAGAGGUUACCUAUACAGCCUUGAUACAGAGGUUAACCAGCUAUACAGCCUGGAUACAGAGGUUACCUAUACAGCCUGGAUACAGAGGUUACCUAUACAGCCUGGAUACAGAGGUUACCUAUACAGCCUGGAUACAGAGGUUACCUAUACAGCCUGGAUACAGAGGUUACCCAGCUAUACAGCCUGGAUACAGAGGUUACCUAUACAGCCUGGAUACAGAGGUUACCUAUACAGCCUGGAUACAGAGGUUACCUAUACAGCCUGGAUACAGAGGUUACCUAUACAGCCUGGAUACAGAGGUUACCUAGCUAUACAGCCUGGAUACAGAGGUUACCUAUACAGCCUGGAUACAGAGGUUACCUAUACAGCCUGGAUACAGAGGUUACCUAUACAGCCUGGAUACAGAGGUUACCCAGCUAUACAGCCUGGAUACAGAGGUUACCCAGCUAUACAGCCUGGAUACAGAGAGUACCUAGCUAUACAGCCUGGAUACAGAGGUUACCUAUACAGCCUGGAUACAGAGGUUACCUAUACAGCCUGGAUACAGAGGUUACCCAGCUAUACAGCCUGGAUACAGAGGUUACCCAGCUAUACAGCCUGGAUACAGAGGUUACCUAUACAGCCUGGAUACAGAGGUUACCUAUACAGCCUGGAUACAGAGGUUACCUAUACAGCCUGGAUACAGAGGUUACCUAUACAGCCUGGAUACAGAGGUUACCUAGCUAUACAGCCUGGAUACAGAGGUUACCUAUACAGCCUGGAUACAGAGGUUACCUAUACAGCCUGGAUACAGAGGUUACCUAUACAGCCUGGAUACAGAGGUUACCUAUACAGCCUGGAUACAGAGGUUACCUAUACAGCCUGGAUACAGAGGUUACCUAUACAGCCUGGAUACAGAGGUUACCUAUACAGCCUGGAUACAGAGGUUACCCAGCUAUACAGCCUGGAUACAGAGGUUACCUAUACAGCCUGGAUACAGAGGUUACCCAGCUAUACAGCCUGGAUACAGAGGUUACCUAUACAGCCUGGAUACAGAGGUUACCUAGCUAUACAGCCUGGAUACAGAGGUUACCUAGCUAUACAGCCUGGAUACAGAGGUUACCUAUACAGCCUGGAUACAGAGGUUACCUAUACAGCCUGGAUACAGAGGUUACCUAUACAGCCUGGAUACAGAGGUUACCUAUACAGCCUUUAG
ensembl:lncRNA